rnacentral:rRNA from 1 species
GCACAAGCGGUGGAGUAUGUGGUUUAAUUCGAUGCAACGCGAAGAACCUUACCUGGUCUUGACAUCCCGGAGACCCUUAGGAAACUAGGGGGUGCUUCCAUCUGGAAGAAUCUGGAGACAGGUGCUGCAUGGCUGUCGUCAGCUCGUGUCGUGAGAUGUUGGGUUAAGUCCCGCAACGAGCGCAACCCUUGCCUUUAGUUGCCAGCAGUUCGGCUGGGCACUCUAAAGGGACUGCCGGUGUUAAACCGGAGGAAGGUGGGGAUGACGUCAAGUCCUCAUGGCCUUUAUGACCAGGGCUACACACGUACUACAAUGGCCGAUACAAAGGGCAGCGACACUGCGAGGUGAAGCCAAUCCCGUAAAAUCGGUCUCAGUCCGGAUUGGAGUCUGCAACUCGACUCCAUGAAGUUGGAAUCGCUAGUAAUCGUGGAUCAGCAUGCCACGGUGAAUACGUUCCCGGGCCUU